CCUUCUAACAGGCUCCUCUGCUGCAGCUAUGCUGGAGUUUGCUGGAGAUCCACUCCAGACCCUGUUUGCUUGUUUUCUUGAGUGUCACCAGUGGAGGCUGUGGAACAGCAAAGAUUGUUGCCUGUUCCUUCCUCUGGAAGCUUCAUCCCAGAGGGGCAACCACCAGAUGUCAGCCAGAGCUCUCCUGUAUGAGGUAUCUGUCAACUCCUGCUGAGAGUUGUCUCUCAGUCAGGAGGCACGGGGAUCAGGAACCCACCUGAGGAGGCAGUGCCUUUGCAGAGCUUGAACACCAUGCUGGGAAAUCCAUGCUCUCUUCACAGCCAGUAGGUAGGAACGUCUAAGUCUGCUGAAGCUGCACCCACAGCCACCCCACCCCAGGUGCUGUCUCCCAGGGAGAUGGGAGUCUUAUCUGUAAGUCCCCAACUGGGGCUGCUACCUUUUUUUCAGAGAUGCCUUGCCCAGAGAGGAGGAAUCUAGAGAGGCAGUCUGGCUACAAUGGCUUUGCAGGGCUGUGGUGGGGCUCUCCCCAGUUCAAACUUCCCCCUUACCGGGGGCUUUGUUUACACUGUGAAGGGAAAACUGCCUACUCAAGCCUCAGUAAUGGUGGAUGCCCAUCCCCCCACCAAGCUCAAGCCUCCCAGGUCAGCUUCAGACUGCUGUGCUGGCAGUGAGAAUUUCAAGCCAGUGGAUCUUAGCUUGCUGGAUUCCAUGGGGGUGGAAUCCACUGAGCUAGACCACUUGGCUCCCUGGAUUCAGCUCCCUUUCCAUGAUAGUGAACAGUUCUGUCUUACUGGCAUUCCAGGUGACACUGGGGUAUGAAAAAAAACUCUAGCUUGCUGUCUGCCCAAACAGCUGACCAGUUCGUGCUUGAAACCCAGGUCCCUGGUAGUGUAGGCAAUCAAGGGAAUCUCCUGGUCUGCGGGAGAUUGCAAAGACCAUGGGAAAAGCAUAGUAUCUAUGCCAGAUACACAGUUCCUCAAGGCACAAUCCCUCACAGCUUCCCUUGGGUAGGGGAGGGAGUUUCCCAACCCCUUGUGCUUCUUGGGUGAAGCGAUGGCCCACCCUGCUUCAGCUCAGCCUCUGUGGGUUGCACCCACUGUCUAACCAGUCCCAGUGGGAUGAGCUGAGUAUCUCAGUUGGAAAUGCAGAAAUCACCCACCUUUGGCAUUGAUCUCACUGAGAGCUGCAGACUGGAGCUGUUUCUAUUCAGCCAUCUUGACAGCCACCAGGUAUUUCUUUGUAGCAGUGUGAAAACAGAUGAAUACAGUGCCCAUUUAAAUUUCUGGAGACUAUCUUUCAAAAGUAUCUUGAGCUGUUAUUUCAUUAAUUAUGUUGCGGGGAUUUUUCUAAGAGUCAAUAGUCAAUGCAUCCUUCUAUGACCCUUUCUGGUAGCUAACAACAAAAUCCUUAUAUUGAGAGGUGUGUGUGUGUGUGUGUGUGUGUGUGUGUGUAUGUGUGUGUGUUGGCAGUCAAGAGUGCAUCAGAAUUGCCUAAAAUAUAAAGCAAGUUGCUGACAUACAAAUGUAAAAGGAGAGGUGCUGGUAGAGAGAAGCUCAUCAGAAUUGAGAGGAAACUAGAACCAGGAAAGGAAAGAUGGAAAUAGACGAGGAAGUGAGCCAGCCAUCUUUUUGAAUGUGGAUUACUUGUUUAAAAGAACUAUGGAGGAAGAAGUCACUGCAACUUCCGGGAGGGGCUUGUACGCUUAGUGCGGGAGCUGCGGGGCCCAGAGAUCGUGUUUGAAGUAGCGGUUCUACCAACAUGUCCCGUGGUUCCAGCGCUGGUUUUGAGCGCCACAUUACCAUUUUUUCACCCGAGGGUCGGCUCUACCAAGUAGAAUAUGCUUUUAAGGCUAUUAACCAGGGUGGCCUUACAUCAGUAGCUGUCAGAGGGAAAGACUGUGCAGUAAUUGUCACACAGAAGAAAGUACCUGACAAAUUAUUGGAUUCCAGCACAGUGACUCACUUAUUCAAGAUAACUGAAAACAUUGGUUGUCUGAUGACCGGAAUGACAGCUGACAGCAGAUCCCAGGUGCAGAGGGCACACUAGGAGGCAGCUAACUGGAAAUACAAGUAUGGCUAUGAGAUUCCUGUGGACAUGCUGUGUAAAAGAAUUGCUGAUAUUUCUCAGGUCUACACACAGAAUGCUGAAAUCUUAGUUGUUGUAUGAUUUUAAUUGGUAUAGAUGAAGGGCAAGGCCCUCAGGUAUAUAAGUGUGAUCCUGCAGGUUACUACUGUGGGUUUAAGGCCACUGCAGCAGGAGUUAAACAAACUGAGUCAACCAGCUUCCUUGAAAAAAAAGUGAAGAAGAAAUUUGAUUGGACAUUUGAACAGACAGUGGAAACUGCAAUUACAUGCUUGUCUACUGUUUUAUCAAUUGAUUUCAAACCUUCAGAAAUAGAAGUUGAAGUAGUGACAGUUGAAAAUCCUAAAUUCAGGAUUCUUACAGAAGCAGAGAUUGAUGCUCACCUUGUUGCUCUAGCAGAGAGAGACUAAACAUUGUCCUUAGUCUGCCAGAUCCAUGAUGUCACUUACCUGUGUGUUUGGUAACAGCAAACCAACAUUACGGAGAUCCCUGGAUUGAAAAAUGAGCCUCUCCCAUUCCUCCUACCGCCGAAGUGGUUAGGACUCUAUAUAAAUAAAAACAGUGCUUUUGGAAAA